GGUUCCGGCCCGCGCCUCUCCCUCCACACCUCCCCACAAGCUGAGGGAGCCGGCUGCGGCCUUCGCCAGCCCAGAAAGGGGCUCCUACAGUGCAGUGGCGGGCUGAAGGGCUGCUCAAGCGCCGCCAAAGUGGGAGCCCAGGCAGAGGAGGCGCCCAGAGCGAGCGAGGGCUGUGAGGACUGCCAGCACGCUGUCACCUCUCACUCAUAUAGAUUGCCAAUCUAUUUGUGAACCAGGUUUGCUGGAGUUUGGAUUUACUACUGAGUCAUAUUUGGAGCAUGCUGGAAUCUUACAACUGAGAUUACCGAGUCAGAAACUUGCAAACAUGAGUAACAUGGCCCUGCUCUGGAGACUACUGGGAACACAAACACAGCCAUUUAAGACAUCUACCUGCUUCUCCUUUGCCUUCCAUCAUGACUGAAAGUUGUCUGAGGUCUCCCAGCCACGUGUCCUGUACAGCCUGUGGAACUACUUUAAAGAAGAAUCAGAAAAUGGAGACUGGGAUUGGAAGCAGAGAUCCGAUGGCCAAAUUACAGUCUGCCACUGAAGCUAACACACCUAUGGUUUCAGAGUAUUCUUUAGUCUCUUCCACCAUGUGAGGGCACAGUGAAAGGAAGGACUUCUAUGGAGCAGAAUGUGGGCCCUUACCAACACUGAGUCUUCCAUUGCCUUGACCUUUAACUUCCCGGCCUUCACAACAGUGAGAAAUAAAUUUCUGUAGUUUAUAAGCCAA
rnacentral:lncRNA from 1 species